GCUUACGACCACACCGGCCUGAGUACGCCUGAUCUCGUCUGAUCUCGGAAGCUAAGCAGGGUCGGGCCUGGUUAGUACUUGGAUGGGAGACCGCCUAGGAAUACCAGUUGCUGUAAGCU
rnacentral:rRNA from 1 species